GACGAACGCUUGCGACGUGCCUAAGAAAUGCAAGUCGAGCGAGGUAGCAAUACCUAGCGGCGAACGGUCGCGUAACACGUAAGCAACCUGCCCCAAAGACCGGGACAACGUUCCGAAAGGAGCGCUAAUACCGGAUGUGCCCGACGGGUGACAUCGCCUGUUGAGUAAAUCGAGCAAUCGGCUUUGGGAGGGCUUGCGGCCUAUCAGCUAGAUGGUGGGGUAACGCCUACCAUGGCGACGACGGGUAGCUGGUCUGAGAGGAUGGUCAGCCGGAUUGGGACUGAGAUACGGCCCAGACUCCUACGGGGGGCAGCAAUUAGGAA
rnacentral:rRNA from 1 species